GUCAGAUGCCUUUUUGUAGUCAAUAUAGCAACAUGGAAGAUUUGUUUUUCCACCAGGCUUAAUUUAGAAUUACAGAAUCUAUAAUUAGUUAUUCUUUAUAUUCUUUCAUCCCCUUACAGCAUCCUUUCUGCUCUUCUGUAAGUACAUGAUGUACAAUUUUAUAUAUAGUUUGUAGACAAGUAAUAGAACGAUAUUUUGAUGGGUCUUUUGUGAUUUCCCCUUCAGGCAGAAAAUAUGUUUUAACUUCUGUCAAAAAUUCAGUCUCUUUUUCAGGAUUUUAAUAAAAUUGUUGAUAUGUAUUAAUAGGUAUGGAUGAAGGUAGAUACGUUUUUAUAUCAAUAAUUAUGAAUAUUAUCACUGCCAGUACUUUUCCAGUUGUGGGUAUCUUUUAUAACCUCUUUCAGAAUAGCCAUUGUUACUUCAGGUAUUUGCAUUUCUUCAAUUGUGUGCGUGCGUUCUUUCUCCUCCCUAAUCCAGCUUGCUUCCUGACCAGAUAUUAGACCAGUAGUUCAUCAUCUCUGUGUUUGUUGGUAAUUCUGUGUUGGUGUUGGUGACAUUUUGGCUCACUGAGUUUAAUUUCAAUGUCCUAUGUAAACCUUUUCCAUUGUUUCAGAAUUAAGAGUGUUUUCUUUGUCUGUUGCAUUACAGAAGUCUGGUUUUGUAAGCACCAUGCUCUUGUUUCAGUUUAUCUAUAAACUCUACCAUGCUUUUGUUAGGUUGAUUGUAUCUUGUAUGGACUUUAUAUUUCCUCAGUAUUUCCUUAGCUUUUCUUUAACUUUCUUGAUCGGGUUAUCCUUUUUAUACUACAUUAUGUGAGCUAUUUCUGUACUUAAGGUUUCAAUUUUGUUUCUUAAUCUCUUAUUGUCAGGGUCCAGUCCGGUCCGGAAUCCGCGUUCCAGGUCUCGAUCUGGUCCGAGUACUCCGGACUCCGGGUCCUGCAGUUGUCCCUCCCGUCACCCAUGAACUAGUUAGGACCCUCCUGGCUCAAGGACGCACACCUGUGACUCAUUGAGCUGCAGGUGUUUAUAACUGGGACCAGGCAUUUCAAGUUCUAAGUACAUUUAUUACCAAAAUAUGAAUACUGUGUACAACCUUGGGAUUCAUCUCCUUCAGGCAACCACAAAGAAACCCAAUACAACUAAUUAAAACAAAGCAAGACCGUGGAACACCCAGUGUGCAGAGAGAAAAAAAACAACUGUGCAAACACUAGAAGUAAGCAAAUAGCAUUCUGAACGAAAGUUCACAGAAGUGAGGCCACAAAGCUGGUCACAGCCGACUUACAGG